GACGAAUGCUGGCUGCGUGCUUAACACAUGCAAGUCGAACGGUGAAAGGGAGCUUGCUCCCUGGAUCAGUGGCGAACGGGUGAGUAACACGUGAGCAAUCUGCCCCGAACUCUGGGAUAAGCGUUGGAAACGACGUCUAAUACCGGAUACGACGCGCGAAGGCAUCUUCUGCGCGUGGAAAGAACUUCGGUUCGGGAUGAGCUCGCGGCCUAUCAGCUAGUUGGUGAGGUAACGGCCCACCAAGGCGACGACGGGUAGCCGGCCUGAGAGGGUGACCGGCCACACUGGGACUGAGACACGGCCCAGACUCCUACGGGAGGCAGCAGUGGGGAAUAUUGCACAAUGGGCGCAAGCCUGAUGCAGCAACGCCGCGUGAGGGACGACGGCCUUCGGGUUGUAAACCUCUUUUAGUAGGGAAGAAGCGAAAGUGACGGUACCUGCAGAAAAAGCACCGGCUAACUACGUGCCAGCCGCCGCCGUAAGAC
rnacentral:rRNA from 1 species